GCUGAACUCAAUCAUUGCUGCAAGAUCAGAACAAGAACCCAGACAAACACAAACAAUUUGGCUUUGGGUUAUGACCCAUGAAUAAGCACCACUCAAUAUGGUUAGAGGAUGGCCAUUCUCCCAUCUGCCUGAUUUGCUUCUCCUUCCUGUGGAAAACAAACAAACAAACCAACAACAAACAUGCAUGAGUUCAAGAGACCUGGGAGAUCAGACACCUGAUUUCACUGUAUGAAGACCUUUUUCUUGAAGCGACAGAAAAGACAGCAUCCAUCUCUAAGACCUGUUCACUCAGAGGGGUGAGUCACCCUUACAUCAGGAGCUUUGUGUGGUCCAGGCCAGAGCUGGUAGCAAAAUGUUGAAACAGCAGGCACAGGAGAGCUGAAAGUACCCUGAAAGACUCCACCAGACUGUCUGCAGAGAAACCCUAUCUUUGUAAAAUGCUAAUCGUUGCCAGCAAAUUUCCAAGCAUCCCAAGAUGAGAAACUCAUCCACCUAGUACUCUGCUGAUGGUCUAGCAGGAGAUCCAUUUAUAAGCACCACUGUGCCUUACGACAUCCGGCUCACUCUUAGGACAUCUUAAAUGUGCAUGAUAAAAGAAGUUAAUAUGAAGAUGAAUUGUUUGCUGGAAGAAAAAAAAAAAAAAGGAAAUAAAGAGAAGAAACAAAAGAAAGAGUGAGCAAAGAGCAGAAGCCUCCUUGAUCUAGCCUUCACUUGGCUGAAUGGGAGGCACAGGUUCACAUUACACUCCUUUGGAAUGAUAAUCACACCCUUCUUUGAGGCUGACACACCACUGGGAGGAUUAUCUUUGCAGGGCAGCCCAGAUCCUUCUCACUGAUAAAGCUGCUGUAUCUGAAAAGUAUUUGGCAGAACUGCCACCACACACAAACAGAGGAGCUGACUCCUAACCUCAGAGGCUUGGUAUGGGGAGGUGUCUGCAUCAGCUCCUGUGCCCUCCAGAUCAACUCUACAGAUCAUCACCUCUGCAACUUGGAGAAGAAAACACGGUUUCCUUGGGGAGCUUUGAGGUGGUUUUAUUAAUGGUUUCAAAACCUUCUGAGGUAACAUUUUCAAGACAGGCUCUGUGCAAUGCAAGGGGGUUAUUUGUUGCCUUCUAUCUGUCCUGGAUUCCACUGGGGACCAAGAUCACGCCAUGCCACAUACUCAGCUUACUCAGCUGCCUUCCUCAGAGCGUUGUCACUAAAGCAAAGCAUUUAAUGGCAGGAGCUGGGAUAGUUGGGUGUGCAAAACCUUUUAUGGAACUGUAAUUAAGCCACUAUGGAACUACUUCAAGUGAGGGCCACUGCCUAAGAGGAUCCUGAAUUUCAGCAGCCCUUGAGGACCUGAUCUUGCAUACUUCACAGUGUGCAGGGGCUAAAGUUACUCGUGCCUUUAUUGCAAGGACAGUAAGGGCCAAAGCGACAAUGAGAAAUAAACUGUACCUCUAACAUUGUCCA
rnacentral:lncRNA from 1 species